UUACAUAUACAGUGUACAUGUACAUGUAGCUUCAAUAUAAAUCAACUGAUACACCGUAAGUAUGUCUUCUAUAUAUGAAAGUUAUAAAUUGGUUUGUUUACAAAAUUUAUUUUUUACUAGAUAUAUUUGAGUAAAUACAGGACCAAAUUAUAUAUUAAAACAAAUACUCACAAACGUUGUUGGUUUUUUAAAUUACUAAUAUUUCCUAUGAUGUGAUAUAAAUUAUAUGAUCAAAUUGUGGAUACAACUACAUGGUUUAUGCUAUAAACUGUGAAUAUAAAAAAAAGAGUAUGUUGUAUGAUUGCCAAUGAGAAAACUCUUCCAACAAGAUGCCAUGACAGAAGUUAACAACUGUAGCCUAUAGUAGGUCAUAGUACAGUCUUAAACAAUGAGUAAAGCCCAUACCACUCAGAGAGCUAUAAAAUACACUGAAAUGACAAAUGUGAAACAAUUAAAACUAGAAAUUUGGCCUAAUUUUAUAUCAUACAUGUAUGUACAAAAAUCUAGAAAAACAAAUGUGACACAUCAAACAACAAUCACUGAAUUACAGGCUCCUGAAUUUGGGACAGACACAGACAUACAUAAUGUAUCGGGUUAAACAUGUUAGCUGGGGCCCAACCCUCCCCUUACCUGGGACAGUGGUGUAAGAGUACAAAAUAAAAACAAACUAUAAAAUUCAGUUGAAAAAGUCUUAAAUCUUAACUCAUCAUGAGAUGGAUACAAGUAGAAAUAAAUAAAACCAAGAAAAAGGGGGCAUGGUCAGGUACUAUUACAUCCAAACAACUGAAAGAGCACUUAGUACAGCUCUAGAUUAUUUACUCUAAGCAAACCCAAGCUUAAUAGGAGAUGUGAAAAAUACCCUAAAUCUGAUAGGACCUGCAACUUUUGAAAGAGACUCCAAAAAAUAAAAAAAUUACAAGGGAACUCAAUCUAAAUUUUGUGUUAAAAUUUCAUGAGAAAUUGUUUAAAGCAAAGGAGAAGGGGCAUUAAAGGACUAUUUUUGGUCCAAGAAUAUAAACUAUUCCAAAAAGCCCCAUUAUGUUUGGAAAUGCAUAAAUUUAAGAAACAUGAAUUAAAAACAUAAUAUUUUUUGUCUGAUAAUGUCACAAUUACAUCAUGAAAACGAGGACAAAUAUAGAAUUUAUGCAGUUUCCAAAACAACAAAAUAAUUUAAGAAAACCUUUAUUAUAACUAUUGACAUAAUCUCACUAAAUAUAAUUUUUUUCUUGGAUGGGCACAUUACAGUCUAAAAUAUAAUUUUAUUUGACAAAAAACAAAGAAAAUUAAGAAAUUUUACAAAUUUGGUCUAAGUUUAUUGCCAUGGUAACUCUUUGAUUGUAAAAAAAACCCAUUAUUUUCUGAAUAUGAGGUACCUUAGUCUACUGUAGUUUGGACAAAUUUUGGAAUAUUUCGGAUAACUGUUAAAUUAGCAGUAAUAUCUGGGCAAAAAUAAAAACUUUUUUUAGUUAGCCCCUACUACUUUGAGAUAUUGAACAAAGUGUUGCCAUAAUGAAUUUAAAGGAUGGAUGGACAAACAAUGGCAUACCAUAUACAUCCCUUACCUACCUACCAGAAGUUACAAAGUUAUAAAAAAUAUGUUUAUAUAUUUUCAGAUCACAAUUAUGUCAACCUAAUCAUUGGAAGUUUAUCAAGUUACAUGAGAAGCAUUGAAAGCCUGCAGAGAUUCUACAUGUAUACAUAAAUGGAAUAGACUCACACUUAAAAAUAACUUUUAGCCAAGACUAAUGCACUCUCAAACAAGGAUUAUUCAUGUUUCAAUGAGUGAAUUGAAGUGCAUACUAGCUGCUCAUGAAAAUUUGUGUGCAUUUUUUUAAAUAUUUAUUUUCGUUUUAUUGAUUGUUGUUUUCAAAAAUAUGUAUGUCUUCAUAAAUUAAUCAUGAACAUACAUGUAUUGUUG
rnacentral:lncRNA from 1 species